GCCCAGUAUGUGUUGUAUGUGAUUUUGCAUGGUAUGUGGUAAGGUGGGGAACUCACUAAGCUUUGUGCUUACGGUUUUCAGUUUUGCUUUCAGGUACUUCCGGUAGCGGAGGGAGGAGCUCGGGGUGAUCGCAUGGCACACACCAUAGAGUAGUCAGCCUGGGAAUGUUUACUCUGAUAAUAAACAUGUGUUUUGGAAACUUAUACUCAGAUUAUGUUUUGGAAUGAUGUUUUGUUUAAAGUAAUGUUUUAUUAAAAAGAAAUUUUUGGUCUUAAAUUUUGGGAUGUUUCACUAAAAAUGACAAACAAAAUAUAGUUUCGAUAUAUAUUGUGUAAAUGUACAAAAUGUGUUUCUAAAUUUAUUAGGUAUUUAAUGCAUGUAAAGGUUUCAUAAGUUGAUACUAAAAUUCUUAUUGCAUGGCAAUGACCUAAUCGGGAUCCCCUAAAGCUUAAUUCACAGUUUUAGGUUCUAUGAAUAAAAGAAAGGAAUCAAAGCACAAAGGAUACGGAUUUCGGAUCCAAUGAUUCUUUGGUUUCGGUUUCAUAUAAUUUGGUCUAAGAAAUGUCUUCUCAUGGGUCACUACUACAUAACCAAAAAUAAACUACGGCACAUAUAAUAUGGGUUAUAGAGUAAUUCGUAUUAUAUAAUAUUAGAUGGCUUAGAAAAGAUUUAGUAUACGGUUUUAUGAGAAAAACAACUGUACUCUAUGUGGUGUAGUACAUGAAAAGGGAAAUAGAAUACGCUGGAACAUGCUUUGUCAUUUAUAGCUGUAUUUUAUAUAUAACCUGAUAAAUACUCUUAUAUUUAAAAUCUAAUACCUAAUUUAGGCACCGUUAUAGUUGGUCCACAUCCAUAUUCAUCUUUCUUUCAAAAAAAACAUAUGAAAAAUCGACCUCUGUUUUUCAUAUCUUUGCUUUGAGGUUUUGGAGACGGUGGCAUUCAUUCCGAUUUCUGAAGCAUACAUAGUGAUGAUCUUCAUCUGAAGACAAACUGUCCAAGUUUCUUCCGACCUUGGUAUCAGGGUAGUUACCCAUCAACAAACUUUAGAACGAUAUUCUUCAAGUUAUUUUCUCCGACUACAAGAUGGAUCGUGAUACUUGGAUGUAUGGAUUACAACGUCAUGACAAAGAAGACCUAAUUAGGUUGAAAGAUUUCCUUAAAGCUGUUGAGGGUCAUCGAGUAAAAAAAGGAGAAAGUCAAAUUUGGUGUCCUUGUAUCUCUACGUUACAUGUACCCAUUCGAGAGAUAUAUGGGUUUUCUUAAGGGGUAUGUAAGGAAUCAUCAUCGACCCGAAGCCAGUGAUGUUGAAGGAUAUGCUUCAGAGGAGGUUAUUGAAUUUUGUAAAAAUUAUCUACAAGGUGUCCUAAGUAUUGGAAUACCACGAUCACGACAUGAAGGUAGACUUGAAGGGGUUGGUAUAAUUGGGUUGAAAGUUGUUAUUCCUGAUCGAAAUGAAUUCCAUCUAGCACAUUUUACAGUCUUACAACACAUGACAGUUGUUGCUGCAUACAUAAAUGAGCACAUGGAAACAUUAAGAGCGACCCAGAAUAGAAGGACACAAAAAUGGUUCGCUAACAAGCAUUUGGGAACAUUUCCACAAUGGUUCAAAAACAAGGUGAAAGAUGUUGGAUUAGGUUUCAAGUUCAUAACUAUAAAUGAGAUGUACUUGAUCCGAUAGUAGCAUGGUCCUUUUGGGUUGCCUUCACACUGGUGACUAGACAGGAUGAUUGUUGAGGAAAGAGGCUGAUUUAUUAUUAAGAAUAAUAAAUUAGGGCAUAAAUAUUAUUUAUUAAUAUAUUACAUGAAUAAUAUAUUAUUAAUUUGGAAUCAUAUUAUUAAUUAGUAUUUACUCAUAUAUUAAUUUGGAAUUAAUAUUAAAGGAACUGAUUAAAAGUACAGGGGUUGUUUUGUAAUUAUUUGAUAGUUGAGGCUUUGGGCCAUUGGAUCACCCUUGUUAGGGCUAGGCUGAAAAUCCUAGAAGGAUCUAGGUGUUUUCGUCCAAGGCCUAAUGCAAGGAGGUCCAUAGACUUGCUUAGGCCCUAAGCUAAGGGAUUAGGGUUUCCACCCUGAAACCCUAGUUGACCUCAAGUAUAAAUAGACCCCCUAGGCUUAAGAAUUCUCCCCACCCCUUGAGAAACCCUAGAAGAGUCGAUUUCUAGAGCUAGUUACAUUCUUUCCUCUCUCUCAUAUUCAUCCUUUCACUCUUGUGUGUUUGUGAGCCAUUAGAGGCACUACAUUUGUGGUACUUGUUCUCAAGAGCAAAGGAACUUCAAGAUUUAGUUGUUAUUACUAUAUAGCAACAAAGGUAUGUAUUCUAAUCCUUUUUUUUGUGAUUUUCGAAAUAUUAGAUGCAUGCUAGGGUUUCUUUUUGUGUUCAUUUGUUAUAGGCCUAAUACUGAAAACAUAGAUCCAAAUUAGGGUUGCAUGCACACAUAAGAUUGUUUGUAUAAAACCCAACAAAAGAAAGUUUAGGCACAACCAAUGUUGAUCCAUUAGUGAACCUAUUGGGGUAUGGUCCACAAAUUUUUAGGACGAUAUGUGGUUUAGGAAUAGAUUACUUUAAUGGAAUCAAUGAGGAUCUAUGGUGUCCAAUAAAGAUUGGACCAUAUCGAGAAAAUGUUGUUGAAGCAGUCGGAACGGCAGCUCAAAACGAAAAUGUUACAAUUGAUCAAUUAAAGAAAGAAACGAAUGGAAAGAGCUGUAUUCAUGAACUGUGAGGAGCUUUACCUCCAGUCGCUUACAACUAUAUAUGUGGUUGUAAAACAGAAAAAGGAGAUUUGGAACACUCUGAAAAAUGAAUUUCAAGGCAACGAACGAACCAAAAAAAUCUUAGUGACUCAUUGUUUGUCUGAAUUGUCUGAAUUCAAUAACUAAGAGAUGGAGUCAAUUGAAGCAUAUUAUGAUUGAUUCAACGAUCUGAUUUACAAAUGCUCAAGUUACAAUGUUGUCUGUACAAUUUUAGAGUUCAACAUCACAUUCAUUUUAGGCUUGAGGAAGGAAUGGAAAAACAUUAGUAUUAUGAUCAAAAUUCAAGUGAAUUUUGAUUCAUGCUCUCUAUGAAACAUUUACAGCAUCUUGAAAGCACAUGAAGUUGAAGUGAAAGAAAUCAUAUAUGAGAAGGACAAAACUAGUUUUGGUGGUCCUUUAGCUUUGUUUCUAAAACCAACAUUAAUGAUGCUUGUUCUGAUGUCGAAGACGGUGAAGAUGGAUAAGGGUUGAUUAUGAAUUAUGAUGAUGAGGUUGUGGCUUACCAUUCCAAUAAUAAUGCCAAAACGUUUUACAAGAAGCCUAUAACGCUCGCGUUUCCAGGCUAGGCAUUUUCGUUGAUGUAAUAGUCUAGGUUAACCCAUAUAACUCUUUUAAAGUAUUAAUGAUGAAAUAUUUGAGUAUUAUGUGAAUUAUGUGAAUCAUGUGUUUAUUUUCUUAAUUAUUAUAAUUUAAUGAAUUAAGAAUAAAAUAAGCGUCAAAAUUAAAGUAUGAGCUAAGCCCGAUAUCUUUGCAUAAAGAUGUAGUGGUCGAAACGAGGUUUCCGAAUAUAUAAAGAAUGCCGAAAUCCGAGUUAUAACGAAUAAGUUAUGACCUGUCGAAGUUUCGCGACAGAAUUGACAACUCUAGAUGACGUAAAAAGUGAAAUUUACGUUAGUGCAAUAUUUAGCCUUAUUUAUCUAAACGAAAUUCGUAGAGUUUGUUAAACCGAGAGCAUGCAUAAAAAGAACGCCCAAAUCUGACUUCGUAUGAGGAAGUUAUGAUUUUCUGAAGUUUCAACUUGGCAGUAUGCAGCCUGAAUCCUUGAUUUGAGAUCGAGCGGUUUAUAUCCGAAACAAUCUAAAUGGGAAUUGAAGAUCUCGUUGUUAGUAGCGAAACGAUGAAAAGUUAGGCGAGAACGGACGUCGGACGAAUAAGUUAUGAUUUUAUAACGAAGUUUUCCUGUCCGGGCAUGGAUAUAAAUAAUAAAAAUAAAGUCAAAAUUAGCCGACGGGGUCCAAACGAAAGUUGUAGAGCGUAGUCUCACCUACGCAUGGAUAUAAAGAACGUCGAAAACGGAGCUUGUAUGCAAAAGUUACGCAAUUUAAAAGUUUGACCAGUCAAAUUACACCGAGCGUAAUUUGAGUACGCCCAGCGUACUCAGAAGGGUGCAAGUUGUCUGACCAAUACUCGAGUGCCACCAAUUGACGCAUGCAGUGACGUCAAAGUACGCCCAACGUAACCAAGUUACGCCCAGCGUAAUCCCAGACCCCCAACUUAUAAAUAGAAACCGAGAUCAGCCAUUUUCUCUUGUUCAAACUCUUUCUUCUCUCUAGUUUUUGCCUCGAUUUGUGUGCCAAUCAUAUCCCGAAGCCCCGGUAUCAUUCCCGAGCCCCGAAGCAAGAUCCGAAGUCCCGAGGAUCCCGAAGAGCGUUAUUCCCGAGCCGAAGCCCUGCCCGCGAGGAGCCCGGUUUUUGUGAAAAUCUUCCAGAUCUACGAAGAAACACUACUUCUGCAAGCCGUAGUGUUGUCCAAUCAUCUUUUGAUCAAGUGAGUGUGUAGUUACUUUCUUCCAACACAUUAUUAUGAAGUAUUUUAUAUAAAAUACGUGCUAUGUGUAUAUAUUUUGUUGUUAUAUGUGUGAAUAUAUAUCCACUCUCUUCUAGCUCAUAGAUCUGAUUUAUUCUCUAUGAAAUACGUGUUAUGUGUGUGUGCCUCAUCUGUUAUGUGGAAUAUGUAUUGAUUAAAUCAUGCUAUAUAGGUUUUAAACUAUGUAUAAAAAUGUAUAUUUUUAUCUACUAAUAUGUUGGGUAGAACUUGGAUAGAUAGCUGGUGUGUAAUAAACAGAUGAGAGGCCUCGAUGUUGUUUUGAUUUAGUCAUCUAGCGGAGUUUAGAUGACGACCACGGACUUUUCUAGACAGUCUUGUGGAACACUAGCAGGCUCGCCACCUGUAGGUGUUAAUGAACUUGGGUGUUCAUUCGCUGUACUUCAUCCCCCUCAUGGUUGCCUUAUUUGACUUAUAUUGCUGAGGAACCCCCGAAGCAUAUGUUGUCGCCCCAAUGAAAUAUUCUUAGACUAGGUCCCUUGUGUUAGUUGUUUUAGGGACAUAAAGUGAGAAUAACGGGAAUGGGUAAUUGGGUUAUUGUUGGUUGAUGAAAAUAAAGUUAAUUACUUAUUGUGGGUUGAAAACCCUAUAUGCUCACCAGGCUCCCAAGCCUGACCCACUCAGUUUAUUUGUAUUACAGGAAGUGGCGCAAGGGCAUAAGAUGGAUGAAUCAUCAAGUUGUUUUUUUUACAAGUUUUUAUAUGUAUAUAUUUGUUGAAUGACUUGUUGUAACGACCCAAAAAUCACGACUAAAAAUUUCGUUAAAAACAUUACUAAAUCAUAUUUAUAAAAUUUGUAUCAUAAGUCAUAACAUAAUUUUCGAGUAUUAAUUCAAAACAUAUUAUCAUUAUCAGAGUCAAACAUCCCCAGGUUAACUGACUAUGGUGUGUGCACUGCAAUCUUCCCGAGCUCCUCCUUUGAAAAACUGAGUACCUGAAACCAAAACUGAAAACCGUUAGCACGAAGCUUAGUGAGCUCCCCCAAUCUACCACAUACCAUGCAAUAACAU